UACGAAGGGUGCAAGCGUUACUCGGAAUUACUGGGCGUAAAGCGUGCGUAGGUGGUUUGUUAAGUCUGAUGUGAAAGCCCUGGGCUCAACCUGGGAAUUGCAUUGGAUACUGGCAGGCUAGAGUGCGGUAGAGGAUGGCGGAAUUCCCGGUGUAGCAGCGAAAUGCGUAGAGAUCGGGAGGAACAUCUGUGGCGAAGGCGGCCAUCUGGACCAGCACUGACACUGAGGCACGAAAGCGUGGG
rnacentral:rRNA from 1 species